AAGUUGCAUAAGGGAGGACAAAGGCUUUUUGUUAAGCUCCUGGAGUUAUUCGACUUGCUUAUUUUCUUGUGCUUCAGCGAAUGCCUAGAAGAGUACGUCUGGUCAUUUAAAAGACCACAGAAAUAUAUACGUUUUAAAGAUUCCUUAGGUGGAGCUUGGUCCAGUCUUCAAUUUUUUUUGGAGUAAGGUGACAAUUUGAAAUUCUGGUUAAAGGUUCAAGAUGGCAGAUUGCAACUGUGUAAUGUGGGGAAUAUUUUGGCUCAUUGUCCUGGUGUUUUUAGGUUGGCCCUUAAGCAUAAUCUUGGGUGCCCUCUAUGGGUUCCUCUCCCCUCUCACUACCUUAAUAGGACUGGAUGACUUCAGUGAAGCACUUCUGAGAGGAGUAAAUCUGGGGAGGCAGUGUGCUAAGAAUGUACAAAAUGGAAAGCCCCUCUGCUGAGCAAUGAAGACAGAAUUGCAACUGACAAGCUUUUUACUGUGUGCUGUACUGGAUUUCACAGAGUUAUUUUGUUAACCUUAAAAUAUUUGCAUUUCUGUACAAAAGUUGUUUGGUUUUUCAAUAAUGUAUAAAUGGCACUUGAUAAUCUCUGUAAGAAACUAUAGCAAUGCUGGUGUUUGUCUUUUAAAACCACUCUUCCUGUUUUCACAAAGAGAAAUGGUGCUGUCUUCGUUUAUUUGUGUAUGUGGGUUGAAAGGAGAGCGAACCAGAACUGAAACUCCAGAGCAGUACCUCAAAUUCAUGUGAGGAAUAAGGACCACAGUUCUCAAAACUUGGGUCCAAACUGGGAGCACCCACAUUUGAAAACAUUGUCCCAGAACUCAAAUCAGUCUAAUAGGAGUAAUCAAAAGAUGCUCAGAUUUGGAAAGAUGGGAAUUUGUGUUUGAACCCUAUUUUGGGGAAGGUUUGGCUCCUGAAUUAUACUUUGCCUCAUUAUAAAAUAUGUGCAAGUUAGAUUCUGGUCAGAUCACUGUUUCUUUUUAAGUAUUUAUUCAUUCAUAUGUAUAUUUAAAUGGAUGCAGAGCUUAAUUGUUUAUAGUAGCCAUUAGCUUUCUUUCCUCUUUACCAUUUUGUUUAAUUUACUAGGAGUAUUCAUGAUGGCAACUUUGUCUGAAAGUUCAUUAUGCUGAAAUAUUAAUUUGAAGUAUAUUCAUAAAUAGUUCUCAUAAAUACAAACACUGAAGUUUCUUUUGCUUUGCCAUUUUAUUAUUUUAUGAUACACUAAACCAUGACAUUGUCCAACCAGUUGUCAAGAAACUUUAAAGACAUGCUAAAAAUUAUAGAAACCAAGUGUUUUAUAAGUUUUCAUUCUUUCUUUAUAUAGCCUAUCUUUGCUGCAUUUCUCU